GCCCCCGUAGCUCAGCUGGAUAGAGCGGCCCCCUCCUAAGGGGCAGGUCAUAGGUUCGAAUCCUAUCGGGGGCACCA
rnacentral:tRNA from 3 species